GUAUCCUGGCUCAGGAUGAACGCUAGCUACAGGCUUAACACAUGCAAGUCGAGGGGCGAGCAUGGUCUUAGCUUGUCUAAGGCCGAUGGCGACCGGCGCACGGGUGAGUAACACGUAUCCAACCUGCCGUCUACGUCUUGGACAGCCUUCUGAAAGGAAGAUUAAUACAAGAUGGCAUCAUGAGUCCGCAUGUUCACAUGAUUAAAGGUAUUCCGGUAGACGAUGGGG
rnacentral:rRNA from 1 species